AUUGAACGCUGGCGGCAGGCUUAACACAUGCAAGUCGAGCGAGCGGCGGACGGGUGAGUAAUAUAUCGGAACGUGCCCAGUAGCGGGGGAUAACUACUCGAAAGAGUGGCUAAUACCGCAUACUAUGGGAGCGGCCGAUAUCGGAUUAGCUAGUUGGUGGGGUAAAGGCUCACCAAGGCCACGAUCCGUAGCUGGUUUGAGAGGACGACCAGCCACCCUGGGACUGGUACACGGCCCAGACUCCUACGGGAGGCAGCAGUGGGGAAUAUUGCACAAUGGGCGCAAGCCUGAUGCAGCCAUGCCGCGUGUGUGAAGAAGGCCUUCGGGUUGUAAAGCACUUUCAGCGAGGAGGCGUUACCCGCAGAAGAAGCACCGGCUAACUCCGUGCCAGCAGCCGCGGUAAUUC
rnacentral:rRNA from 1 species